GCACUGCUGAGGAGUCCCAGACUAGGGCGAAAACGGCCGUCCAGUGC
rnacentral:hammerhead_ribozyme from 1 species